rnacentral:lncRNA from 1 species
UGUUGGGUAUAAAAUACCCGCGGCCGAAAUUCCCAUCAGAACGGCUCCGCCCGGACUCCUACGGGAGCCGGGCUCCACCUCCGACAUCAGAAAGGCUCAGCCCGGACUCCUACGGGAGCCGGGCUCUACCAACGACAUCAGCAAGUGCAGCUCCGCCCGGACUCCUACGGGAGCCGGGCUCCACCGACGGCAUCAGCAAGUGCAGCUCCGCCCGGACUCCUACGGGAGCCGGGCUCCACCG